UACGGGGGGGGCAAGCGUUGUUCGGAAUUACUGGGCGUAAAGGGCUCGUAGGCGGCCAACUAAGUCAGACGUGAAAUCCCUCGGCUUAACCGGGGAACUGCGUCUGAUACUGGAUGGCUUGAGUUUGGGAGAGGGAUGCGGGAUUCCAGGUGUAGCGGUGAAAUGCGUAGAUAUCUGGAGGAACACCGAUGGCGAAGGCAGCUCUCUGGCCCGAAACUGACGCUGAGGUGCGAAAGCGUGGGGAGCGAACGGG
rnacentral:rRNA from 1 species